rnacentral:rRNA from 1 species
AGGGAAUCUUCCGCAAUGGACGAAAGUCUGACGGAGCAACGCCGCGUGAGUGGUGAAGGUUUUCGGAUCGUAAAGCUCUGUUGCCAGGGAAGAACGUCUUCUGGAGUAACUGCCAGGAGAGUGACGGUACCUGAGAAGAAAGCCCCGGCUAACUACGUGCCAGCAGCCGCGGUAAUACGUAGGGGCAAGCGUUGUCCGGAAUUAUUGGGCGUAAAGCGCGCGCAGGCGGCUGUUUAAGUCUGGUGUUUAAUCCUGGGGCUCAACCCCGGGUCGCACUGGAAACUGGACGGCUUGAGUGCAGAAGAGGAGAGUGGAAUUCCACGUGUAGCGGUGAAAUGCGUAGAGAUGUGGAGGAACACCAGUGGCGAAGGCGGCUCUCUGGUCUGUAACUGACGCUGAGGCGCGAAAGCGUGGGGAGCAAAC